AUGGAACCCUGCGCAGACGGGGAAGUCUUAGCAUUGAACGGUUGUGUUGUUAAAGUGCGAAGUAUGGAACCCUGCGCAGACUGGAAAGCCUUAGCAUUGAACGGUUGUGUUGUUAAAGAGCAAAGUAUGGAACCCUGCGCAGACGGAGAAGCCUUAGCAUUGAACGGUUGUGUUGUUAAAGAGCGAAGUAUGGAACCCUGCGCAGACGGAGAAGCCUUAGCAUUGAACGGUUGUGUUGUUAAAGAGCGAAGUAUGGAACCCUGCGCAGAUGGGGAAGCCUUAGCAUUGAACAGUUGUGUUGUUAAAGUGCGAAGUAUGGAACCCUGCGCAGACGGGGAAGCCUUAGCAUUGAACGGUUGUGUUGUUAAAGUGCGAAGUAGGGAACCCUGCGCAGACGGGGAAGCCUUAGCAUUGAACGGUUGUGUUGUUAAAGUGCGAAGUAGGGAACCCUGCGCAGACGGGGAAGCCUUAGCAUUGAACGGUUGUGUUGUUAAAGGGCAAAGUAUGGAACCCUGCGCAGAUGGAGAAGCCUUAGCGUUGAACGGUUGUGUUGUUAAAGUGCAAAGUAUGGAACCCUGCGCAGAUGGAGAAGCCUUAGCGUUGAACGGUUGUGUUGUUAAAGUGCGAAGUAUGGAACCCUGCGCAGACGGGGAAGCCUUAGCAUUGAACGGUUGUGUUGUUAAAGUGCGAAGUAGGGAACCCUGCGCAGACGGUGAAGCCUUAGCAUUGAACGGUUGUGUUGUUAAAGUGCAAAGUAUGGAACCCUGCGCAGAUGGAGAAGCCUUAGCGUUGAACGGUUGUGUUGUUAAAGUGCGAAGUAGGGAACCCUGCGCAGACGGGGAAGCCUUAGCAUUGAACGGUUGUGUUGUUAAAGUGCGAAGUAGGGAACCCUGCGCAGACGGUGAAGCCUUAGCAUUGAACGGUUGUGUUGUUAAAGUGCAAAGUAUAGAACCCUGCGCAGAUGGAGAAGCCUUAGCGUUGAACGGUUGUGUUGUUAAAGAGCGAAGUAUGGAACCCUGCACAGACGGGGAAGCCUUAGCAUUGAACGGUUGUGUUGUUAAAGAGCGAAGUAUGGAACCCUGCGCAGAUGGAGAAGCCUUAGCAUUGAACGGUUGUGUUGUUAAAGGGCGAAGUAUGGAACCCUGCGCAGACAAAGAAGCCUUAGCAUUGAACAGUUGUGUUGUUAAAGCAACCCAACCUUCAGGUCAGCAGUUCACAAAGGUUUAG
ensembl:lncRNA